CCUACGGUGGGCAGCAGUGAGGACUAUUUGUCCAUGUGCUAGCGCCUGCACCCUCCACUUCUCGUUCCUGAUGACGGCCCUACGGGUUGUAAACUUCUUUUGUCAGGGAGCAAUUGAGUCCACGUGUGGUCUUAGCGAGAGUACCUGAAGAAAAAGCAUCGGCUAACUCCGUGCCAGCAGCCGCAGUAAUACGGAGGAUGCGAGCGUUAUCCGGAUUUAUUGGGUUUAAAGGGUGCGUAGGCGGAAUAUCAAGUCAGCGGUAAAAAUUCGGGGCUCAACCCCGUCGUGCCGUUGAAACUGGUGUUCUUGAGUGGGCGAGAAGUAUGCGGAAUGCGUGGUGUAGCGGUGAAAUGCAUAGAUAUCACGCAGAACUCCGAUUGCGAAGGCAGCAUACCGGCGCCCAACUGACGCUGAAGCACGAAAGCGUGGGUAUCGAACAGGAUUAGAUACCCGUGUAGUC
rnacentral:rRNA from 1 species